UACGAGAGGCCCAAACGUUAUUCGGAAUUACUGGGCUUAAAGAGUUCGUAGGCGGCAUUGCAAGUAGGGUGUGAAAGCCCUCGGCUCAACCGAGGAAUUGCGCUCUAAACUGCAGUGCUUGAGGAACCUAGAGGUGAGCAGAACAGAUGGUGGAGCGGUGAAAUGCGUUGAUAUCAUCUGGAAUACCGGAGGCGAAGGCGGCUCACUGGAGUUUUCUGACGCUGAGGAACGAAAGCCAGGGUAGCGAACGGG
rnacentral:rRNA from 1 species